rnacentral:rRNA from 1 species
GAUGAACGCUGGCGGCGUGCCUAAUACAUGCAAGUCGAGCGAACGGACGAGAAGCUUGCUUCUCUGAUGUUAGCGGCGGACGGGUGAGUAACACGUGGAUAACCUACCUAUAAGACUGGGAUAACUUCGGGAAACCGGAGCUAAUACCGGAUAAUAUUUUGAACCGCAUGGUUCAAAAGUGAAAGACGGUCUUGCUGUCACUUAUAGAUGGAUCCGCGCUGCAUUAGCUAGUUGGUAAGGUAACGGCUUAUCAAGGCAACGAUACAUAGCCGACCUGAGAGGGUGAUGGGCCAGACUGGAGCUGAGACACGGUCCAGAGUCCUACGGGAGGCAGCAGUAGGGAAUCUUCCGCAAUGGGCGAAAGCCUGACGGAGCAACGCCGCGUGAGUGAUGAAGGUCUUCGGAUCGUAAGACUCUGUUAUUAGGGAAGAACAUAUGUGUAAGUAACUGUGCACAACUUGACGGUACCUAAUCAGAAAGCCACGGCUAACUACGUG